UACGUAGGGUGCGAGCGUUGUCCGGAAUUACUGGGCGUAAAGAGCUCGUAGGUGGUUUGUCGCGUUGUUCGUGAAAACCCAGGGCUCAACCCUGGGCCUGCAUUCGAUACGGGCAGACUAGAGUUCGGUAGGGGAGACUGGAAUUCCUGGUGUAGCGGUGAAAUGCGCAGAUAUCAGGAGGAACACCGGUGGCGAAGGCGGGUCUCUGGGCCGAUACUGACGCUGAGGAGCGAAAGCGUGGGGAGCGAACAGG
rnacentral:rRNA from 1 species